AUUGAACGCUGGCGGCAGGCCUAACACAUGCAAGUCGAGCGAGCGGCGGACGGGAGAGUAAUGUAUGGGGACUGCCCGAUAGAGGGGGAUAACUACUGGAAACGGUGGCUAAUACAGCAUACUGUCGGAUAACCCAUAUGGGAUUAGCUAGUAGGUAAGGUAAUGGCUUACCUAGGCGACGAUCCCUAGCUGGUCUGAGAGGAUGAGCAGCCACAUUAGGACUGAGACACGGCCCAGACUCCGACGGAGGCAGCAGUGGUGAAUAUUGCACAAUGGGCGCAAUCCUGAUGCAGCUAUCCCGCGUGUAUGAAGAAGGCCCUAGGGUUGGAAAGUACUGUCAGUCGGGCGGCGUUACCGAUAGAAGAAGCACCGGCUAACUCCGUGCCAGCCGCCGCGGUAAUAC
rnacentral:rRNA from 1 species